rnacentral:rRNA from 1 species
GUCGAACGCUGGCGGCGUGCUUAACACAUGCAAGUCGAACGAGUGGCGGACGGGUGUGUAAUGUCUGGGACACUGCCUGAUGGAGGGGGAUAACUACUGGAAACGGUAGCUAAUACCGCAUUGCAUCGGCUGUGCCCAGAGGGGAUUAGCUGGUAGGUGGGGUAAAGGCUCACCUAGGCGACGAUCCCUAGCUGGUCUGAGAGGAUGACGAGCCACACUGGAACUGGGACGCGGUCCAGACUGCCACGGGAGGUAGGAGUGGGGAAUAUGGCACAAUGGGCGCAAGCCGGAUGCAGCCAUGCCGGGGGUAUGAAGAAGGGCUUGGGGUGGUAAGGGACUUGAAGCGGGGAGGCGUUACCCGCAGAAGAAGCACCGGCUAACUACGUGCCAGCAGCCGCGGUAAUAC